AACUUCUGGUUCUUUAGUCUUGUCCCGUUCUCUUGUAGAACGUUGUGACGAGUCUUAGAACCUUCCUGGUUGAAAGCGCUUCUGCCCUUUAUUGGGUUGGUUGUGUGAUCUGCCUCUUUUACUGUGAGAAAAACAAAGUGCUCAAAGCAGGCUUUACAGCUUGAAUGCGUUAGCAUGGAAUAAUAAUCUAGGACUUUCGGUUCUAUUUUGUUGGUGUUCUGGAGCUGAAGUAAUGAUUGAUAGGGAUAGUUGGGGGUGCUAGUAUUCAAUGGCCAGAGGUGAAAUUCUCGGAUUCCUUGAAGACUAACUUAUGCGAAAGCAUU
rnacentral:rRNA from 1 species